rnacentral:lncRNA from 1 species
CCAGGACUCCUUUUGUUUCAGCAGAUGUGUCAGGUAGUGACCUUGUCAGUGGAAAGAUACCAACCAUUAGGCCAAGAUGAAAGUUGGAAAAGAUCAGCUUUAAUAAAUGUAGUUUUUCUAAUAUCAGAAUGUCAAUACCCUCUAAAUGGCUAAAAUAGAAUUUUGGUUCCUUAUCUAUAUUUUAGAUUUCAGUUUGUUCCCUUAUGUUCAAAAAGUUUCACUUUUGUCCCUUAAAUUUUCUUAGUUACACCAAAUUGGUCCUUCCAUAAGUUUAUCACACUAAUUUGAUCAUUUUGGUGACAUGUGGUAAACUAUAAGAGAAGUCACAUCCGCCUAAAUUGACACCAUCAGUGCUAAAAACUGACAAAAGGACCAAUUUGGUUUAACAGAGACACUAUAAGGUGCCAAAGUGAAACCUUGUAAGGGACAAAAUUGAAACCUAAAAUAUAGAUAAGGGACCAGAAUUCUAUUUUAGCCCUCUGCGAAUUAAACAAUGGAACCACCAAAUGUACUAUUUUUCAGUUAUACUUGUUAAUUUGUUUUGUGUGCUUCCUAUUUUAAGGUUAAUUG